rnacentral:rRNA from 1 species
AAAACUUUCAACAACGGAUCUCUUGGUUCUGGCAUAGAUGAAGAACGCAGAGAAAUGCGAUAAGUAAUGUGAAUUGCAGAAUUCAGUGAAUCAUCGAAUCUUUGAACGCACAUUGCGCCCCCUGGUAUUCCGGGGGGCAUGCCUGUUCGAGCGUCAU